UACGUAGGGUGCAAGCGUUAAUCGGAAUUACUGGGCGUAAAGCGUGCGCAGGCGGUUGUGCAAGACAGAUGUGAAAUCCCCGGGCUACAACCUGGGAACUGCAUUUGUGACUGCAUCGCUGGAGUGCGGCAGAGGGGGAUGGAAUUCCGCGUGUAGCAGUGAAAUGCGUAGAUAUGCGGAGGAACACCGAUGGCGAAGGCAAUCCCCUGGGCCUGCACUGACGCUCAUGCACGAAAGCGUGGGGAGCAAACAGG
rnacentral:rRNA from 1 species